rnacentral:rRNA from 1 species
GUGGGGAAUAUUGGGCAAUGGGCGCAAGCCUGACCCAGCAACGCCGCGUGAAGGAAGAAGGCUUUCGGGUUGUAAACUUCUUUUACCAGGGACGAAACAAAUGACGGUACCUGGUGAAUAAGCCACGGCUAACUACGUGCCAGCAGCCGCGGUAAUACGUAGGUGGCGAGCGUUAUCCGGAUUUAUUGGGUGUAAAGGGCGUGUAGGCGGGACAGCAAGUCAGAUGUGAAAACCAGAGGCUCAACCUCUGGCCUGCAUUUGAAACUGUUGUUCUUGAGUGUCGGAGAGGUAAUCGGAAUUCCGUGUGUAGCGGUGAAAUGCGUAGAUAUACGGAGGAACACCAGUGGCGAAGGCGGAUUACUGGACGAUAACUGACGCUGAGGCGCGAAAGCUAGGGGAGCGAACGGGAUUAGAAACCCUGGUAGUCC